UUGCGCAAGUGAUGUUUAUUUACGCAAUCUUCGCAAUCAUUCGUCGGUGCUCCGAGCCUAUUCUUAUCACCAAGAUCACUGCUCGGACAAACAGUCCAGUGCGGCCCGCCUAAUCCGGCCGGCCGCGGUCGCAGCACCCACCGGUGUCUGGCAGACCCCCGAGCUGCACACUGUCCAGAAGACGGCGUGAGGUGAGCCGACGUCAAAAGCGUCGCGCACGGACGAAGUUCUCAAGGGGAGGCCGACGGGCCUCCCU
rnacentral:sRNA from 1 species